rnacentral:rRNA from 1 species
AGGUUCGUACAACUCUGAGCGGUGGAUCACUCGGCUCGUGUGUCGAUGAAGAGCGCAGCCAACUGUGUGAAUUAAUGUGAACUGCAUACUGCUUUGAACAUCGACAUCUUGAACGCACAUUGCGCCAUGGGUUAGCCCAUGGCACGCCUGUCCGAGGGUCGGCU